CGCACUGUGCGCACUUUUCCUCCCGCUCCUUUCUCCCACAGUCUGUCUGUUCAUUCUCCAUCCUCCGUUCGCUCCUGCAAGCAUGCUGGGAUCCUCAUCUACUUCGUUCCAAAACCGCGAGCAUAAAUGACUUUUUCCUCCUUUUGCGAUCAACCCUCCUUCAUCCAUCCAGACGUUCAUUCAGCGGAUUUUACAGCACCGCGUUCAUUUUUCAACCCGGUCUUUGGGCUAUGCCGUCGGGGCUGGUGAGGCUCGAUAGAAACGAGGAAAACCUACCACAGGUGAAAGGAGGUUUUUACGACGCUGCGGUAUAGGUGAUUGAACACUUUGAGAAUUAACUCAACGCAAUCUUCAGGCAGCAGCGCGGCGCGCUUCCUUUUACUCAAAUAUAGGACUAAAAUUGAGGUUCACACACUUUGGAAAGACUGAAAGGGACGCUUACCAACUUGUGUUUCUGCACAAAUAGAAUAAAAAAAAAAAAACACUACGUUUAUUUCUUAACUGGGAUUCCGAAGGAAGAUGUGACCUUUUCCUUUGCGCACCGGCAAUCUGACUAGCUAAGGAGCAAACCACUGCUUUUCCAUCAGUUGCUCCAUCUUGACAUGUCUUUUUGUGGGAUUACACGCGGAGAUAUGAGCAUUGUGAGAGGCCGAGCUGGAUUGUGAGUUUACCGUCUUUGCUUUUAUUCGUCUCCUCAAAGAGGAAGUGCUCCGUUUGUUCAAUGGCUUCAGUGUCGAGGGUGGCAAGACGCAAAGAUACCAGUCGCUGGCCGAGAAUGUCGUCAACUUUCUGGGCUGUGGUGCUUCUGACAGCGCUGCUGGUUCUCUACUGCGGCCAGCUGGCAGCGGGGACAUGUGAGAUUGUGACGCUGGACAGGGACAGCAGCCAACCACGGCGGACCAUCGCCAGGCAGACGGCCCGCUGCGCCUGUAAGAAGGGCCAGAUCGCUGGAACUACAAGAGCCAGACCCGCCUGUGUGGACGCUGGUAUUGUUCGGAAAAAGCAGUGGUGUGAGAUGGUGCCAUGUUUGGAGGACGAAGGCUGUGACCUGUUAGUCAAUAAAUCUGGCUGGACUUGUACGCAGCCCGGAGGCCGAGUCAAAACCACCACGGCUCUAUGACGCGACAAGAGUCCCCCUCGACACUCUUGCACUAUGGAGAGCAUUGAUGACCCCUUGACAGACAGCCAAAAACCAUCUGCCAACAGCACCCUACCACCACCACCACCAACAUCACAACAACUCCACCCAAACCCUGGUCCAGCAAAGGCAGGAAGCAACACAAGCAGCGACAGAGCACCAAGAGCCACAUGGAGGCAGCAAGGUCUCAUAACGCAGCUAGAGAUGGUAAAACCAGGGAUUGACUGUUUGAGGGAGCAAGCUUUCUCCUGGACACUGGACAGACUACUUGCUGUAAAACCCUUUCCGUUUCCUGUGGCAAGCCCCUCCGGGUUUCUGACUGCUCCCAACUGCUAUCUGUCAUUGGGUCAAAAUGUUGUGUCCACCUCCUCUCCACUCUAUCUGCCUGCUCUGUGAAAUUAGCAGUGCCUGCUUGUACCACGGCGGAUCGGACACUUUGAAUCCUACGAAUGAUUUUUGCCUCAUUGGAAGUACUUUGUUUGAAACUGCUAACUGCUUUGAAAAGGGGAUUUCUCCACAACUUUCUCCUAGCCUCUAGAGCAGCAGUUCCAGAGCAAAGACGGGACUCAUUACAGACCGGACCCUGUUGCUUCUCGGACCACCUCACGCGGCCGUCAAAAAAACAAACUGAGCGCUCUUUGCUGUGAAUAGGCCUUCUGCUGGAGUAAACCUCCCAUAUUUUUAUAGACCAAAGAGCAAAACAACAAAUACGAUCAUUAUGACAAAGUGGACCAUGUGGCAAGGAUACGCAGAGACUUUGUGAACUUGCUUUUACUGUCGCCACCGACCAACGACUGCCCCCACAGAGACACGGUGCACAAAUGGGCCAACGCAAACGACAACUGGCGUCCGGUGGCACAUGUAUUGGACACGAUCAAAGGAGUACUUUUAAAACUUUCCAGACAUUUUUUCUCAGACUAAGUCCACCACUGUAUUUCGGAACUGGAGAUAUAGGUACUACAUACGUAUAACUGUGUAUCAAAAAAAAAAAAUUCUGAUUUGCAUUUUUCAGUAGCUACGGUUGGGACAGCUUGAAGGAAGCAUUGUCGAGUUGGUCAUGGAUCAGGAGCGCAAAUCAUAUUAAAGAGAUGAUGAAUAUUUACAGAGCGUAUAAAUGCUAUUGAGUCUGAAGA